rnacentral:rRNA from 1 species
GAUGAACGCUGGCUACAGGCUUAACACAUGCAAGUCGAGGGGAAACGACGGGGAAGCUUGCUUCCCCGGGCGUCGACCGGCGCACGGGUGAGUAACGCGUAUCCAACCUGCCUCUGACUGAGGGAUAACCCGUCGAAAGUCGGCCUAAUACCUCAUGGCAUCGUCUGCGGGCAUCCAACGACGAUUAAAGAUUUCAUCGGUCAGGGAUGGGGAUGCGUCUGAUUAGCUAGUUGGCGGGGUAACGGCCCACCAAGGCUACGAUCAGUAGGGGUUCUGAGAGGAAGGUCCCCCACAUUGGAACUGAGACACGGUCCAAACUCCUACGGGAGGCAGCAGUGAGGAAUAUUGGUCAAUGGGCGAGAGCCUGAACCAGCCAAGUAGCGUGCAGGAUGACGGCCCUAUGGGUUGUAAACUGCUUUUAUGCGGGGAUAAAGUGAAGGACGUGUCCUUCAUUGCAGGUACCGCAUGAAUAAGGACCGGCUAAUUCCGUGCCAGCAGCCGCGGUAAUACGGAAGGUCCGGGCGUUAUCCGGAUUUAUUGGGUUUAAAGGGAGCGUAGGCCGUGGAUUAAGCGUGUUGUGAAAUGCAGGUGCUCAACGCCUGCACUGCAGCGCGAACUGGUCCACUUGAGUGUGCACAACGCAGGCGGAAUUCGUCGUGUAGCGGUGAAAUGCUUAGAUAUGACGAAGAACUCCGAUUGCGAAGGCAGCUUGCGGGAGCACAACUGACGCUGAAGCUCGAAAGUGCGGGUAUCGAACAGG